rnacentral:tRNA from 1 species
GAAAUAUUUAAAAUUAAGCUUCUAACUUAAUAAAAAGCGUUUAUCGUUUAUAUUUCU